GUCUACGGCCACACCACCCUGAAGGCGCCCGAUCUCGUCAGCUCUCGGAAGCAAAGCAGGGUCGGGGCCUGGUUAGUACUUGGAAGGGAGACCGCCUGGGAAUACCGGGUGCCGUAGGCU
rnacentral:rRNA from 1 species